AGCUAUAGCCCAUAUCAACAGGAAUGCGCUGGAUCUCGUCAGAUGUCAGGAUUUAGACAGGCUUGAGCCUGGAUAGUGCUUGGAUGGGCGAACAUCAUCCAAAACAGGUGUUGUAUGCUU
rnacentral:rRNA from 1 species